UACGUAGGGUGCGAGCGUUAUUCGGAAUUACUGGGCGUAAAGCGUGCGCAGGCGGUUUUGUAAGUCAGAUGUGAAAUCCCCGGGCUUAACCUGGGAAUGGCAUUUGGGACUGCAAGGCUGGAGUGUGGCAGAGGAGACUGGAAUUCCUGGUGUAGCAGUGAAAUGCGUAGAUAUCAGGAGGAAUACCGAUGGCGAAGGCAGGUCUCUGGGCUGACACUGACGCUCAUGCACGAAAGCGUGGGGAGCAAACAGG
rnacentral:rRNA from 1 species